CCGCAAUGUGAGAAAUCGCGACGGGGGGAUCCCAAGUGCCAUUCUUAACGGGAUGGCUUUUCAUUAGUGUAAAGAGCUUUUGGAAUAAGGGCUGGGCAAGACCGGUGCCAGCCGCCGCGGUAACACCGGCAGCUCUAGUGGUAGCAGUUUUUAUUGGGCCUAAAGCGUCCGUAGCCGGUUUAAUAAGUCUCUGGUGAAAUCCUGUAGCUUAACUGUGGGAAUUGCUGGAGAUACUAUUAGACUUGAGACCGGGAGAGGUUGGAGGUACUCCCAGGGUAGAGGUGAAAUUCUGUAAUCCUGGGAGGACCGCCUGUUGCGAAGGCGUCUAACUGGAACGGUUCUGACGGUGAGGGACGAAAGUUAGGGGCGCGAACCGGAUUAGAUACCCGGGUAGUCCUAACUGUAAACGAUGCGGACUUGGUGUUGGGGUGGCUUUGAGCUGCUCCAGUGCCGAAGGGAAGCUGUUAAGUCCGCCGCCUGGGAAGUACGGUCGCAAGACUGAAACUUAA
rnacentral:rRNA from 1 species